CGGCAGGCCCUGUGCGAUUGGGGUCUGCGAACCAUGUCAGGCGGGGAACCGAGCAGCAUUAAGCAGUUCUUCCGAUGCGAUACAGUCAGUCUGUCGUUC
rnacentral:SRP_RNA from 1 species